CAGUCGCCGCGGUAAUACGAAGGGGGCUAGCGUUGUUCGGAAUUACUGGGCGUAAAGGGCGCGUAGGCGGCCAUUCAAGUUAGGUGUGAAAGCCCUGGGCUCAACCUAGGAAUUGCAUUUGAUACUGUUUGGCUUGAGUUCGGGAGAGGUGAGUGGAAUUCCCAGUGUAGAGGUGAAAUUCGUAGAUAUUGGGAAGAACACCAGUGGCGAAGGCGGCUCACUGGACCGACACUGACGCUGAGGCGCGAAAGCGUGGAGAGCAAACAGGAUUAGAUACCCCCGUAGUCCCUGUCUCUUAUAC
rnacentral:rRNA from 1 species